rnacentral:rRNA from 1 species
CUUUCUCCGCCGGCGACCGGCGCACGGGUGAGUAACACGUAUGCAACCUGCCCCUGUCAGGGGGACAACCCGCCGAAAGGCGGGCUAAACCCGCGUACAUGCCACCGGGGCAUCCCGGAGGCAGGAAAGGCUUCGGCCGGCCAGGGAUGGGCAUGCGGCGCAUUAGGCAGUAGGCGGGGUAACGGCCCACCUAACCGACGAUGCGUAGGGGUUCUGAGAGGAAGGUCCCCCACACUGGUACUGAGACACGGACCAGACUCCUACGGGAGGCAGCAG